rnacentral:rRNA from 1 species
UACAGGGGGUGCAAACGUUGCUCGGAAUCAUUGGGCGUAAAGCGCACGUAGGCGGUCUGUUAUGUCGGAUGUGAAAGCCCUUGGCUCAACUGAGGAAGUGCAUCCGAAACUGGCAGGCUAGAGUACUAAAGAGGAUCGCGGAAUUCCCGGUGUAGAGGUGAAAUUCGUAGAUAUCGGGAGGAACACCGGUGGCGAAGGCGGCGAUCUGGGUAGAUACUGACACUCAGGUGCGACAGCGUGGGGAGCAAACAGG